rnacentral:ncRNA from 1 species
UAAAAAGCAAUGAAAAAGAAGAGUAAAUAAUUUAAUUCUUUCAGUGAGUUAGUGGCAGUGUGAGACUAGCAGACCCUGAAUUAUUGAAAAACACUUUUAGCAGCUCGCCGAAAUAAGAGCAUUAGAGUAGGUCGAGACGUAUCCAGUACGUUACCAAGCUGGUAGAGCAUGUUUGUGCUUUAUUGAGUUGGCCUAGUUUCUAGGCAAUUUAGGUGGUACCGCGGAAAAAGCCUUUCGUCCUUAGC